AUUGAACGCUGGCGGCAUGCCUUACACAUGCAAGUCGAACGGUAACGCGGGGCAACCUGGCGACGAGUGGCGAACGGGUGAGCAAUGUAUCGGAACGUGCCCAGUUGUGGGGGAUAACUGCUCGAAAGAGCAGCUAAUACCGCAUACGACCUGAGGGUGAAAGCGGGGGAUCGCAAGACCUCGCGCAAUUGGAGCGGCCGAUAUCAGAUUAGGUAGUUGGUGGGGUAAAGGCUCACCAAGCCGACGAUCUGUAGCUGGUCUGAGAGGACGACCAGCCACACUGGGACUGAGACACGGCCCAGACUCCUACGGGAGGCAGCAGUGGGGAAUUUUGGACAAUGGACGCAAGUCUGAUCCAGCCAUGCCGCGUGCGGGAAGAAGGCCUUCGGGUUGUAAACCGCUUUUGUCAGGGAGGAAAUCUUCUGGGCUAAUACCCCGGGAGGAUGACGGUACCUGAAGAAUAAGCACCGGCUAACUACGUGCCAGCCGCCGCCGUAA
rnacentral:rRNA from 1 species